GCCGGCAUGGCAUAAUGAUUUGGGUGUUGGACUAUGGUUCUAGAGACCAGGGUUCGAUUCCCAGCUCGGCC